GGACGAACGCUGGCGGCGUGCCUAAUACAUGCAAGUCGAACGAGCUCUCCCAAAUUGAUUUUAUGCUUGCAUAAAUGAUUUUUGGAUUCGGAGCGAGUGGCGAACUGGUGAGUAACACGUGGGUAACCUACCCCGAAGCGGGGGAUAACAUUUGGAAACAAGUGCUAAUACCGCAUAAUUAGUUGGAACCGCAUGGUUCCAACUUGAAAGAUGGCUCUGCUAUCACUUUGGGAUGGACCCGCGCCGUAUUAGUUAGUUGGUGAGAUAAAAGCCCACCAAGACGAUGAUACGUAGCCGACCUGAGAGGGUAAUCGGCCACAUUGGGACUGAGACACGGCCCAGACUCCUACGGGAGGCAGCAGUAGGGAAUCUUCCACAAUGGACGAAAGUCUGAUGGAGCAACGCCGCGUGAGUGAUGAAGGUUUUCGGAUCGUAAAACUCUGUUGUUAAAGAAGAACAAGUGUUAGAGUAACUGUUAACACUUUGACGGUAUUUAACCAGAAAGCCACGGCUAACUACGUGCCAGCAGCCGCGGUAAUACGUAGGUGGCAAGCGUUGUCCGGAUUUAUUGGGCGUAAAGCGAGCGCAGGCGGUUUUGUAAGUCUGCUGUGAAAGCCCUCAGCUCAACUGAGGAAGUGCAGUGGAAACUACAAAACUUGAGUACAGAAGAGGAAAGUGGAACUCCAUGUGUAGCGGUGAAAUGCGUAGAUAUAUGGGAAGAACACCAGUGGCGAAGGCGGCUUUCUGGUCUGUUACUGACGCUGAGGCUCGAAAGCAUGGGUAGCGAACAGGAUUAGAUACCCUGGUAGUCCAUGCCGUAAACGAUGAAUACUAGGUGUUGGAGGGUUUCCGCCCUUCAGUGCCGCAGCUAACGCAUUAAGUAUUCCGCCUGGGGAGUACGACCGCAAGGUUGAAACUCAAAGGAAUUGACGGGGGCCCGCACAAGUGGUGGAGCAUGUGGUUUAAUUCGAUGCUACGCGAAGAACCUUACCAGCUCUUGACAUCUUCUGCCAACCCAAGAGAUUGGGCGUUCCCUUCGGGGACAGAAUGACGGGUGGUGCAUGGUUGUCGUCAGCUCGUGUCGUGAGAUGUUGGGUUAAGUCCCGCAACGAGCGCAACCCUUAUUAUUAGUUGCCAGCAUUUAGUUGGGCACUCUAGUGAGACUGCCGGUGAUAAACCGGAGGAAGGUGGGGACGACGUCAAAUCAUCAUGCCCCUUAUGAGCUGGGCUACACACGUGCUACAAUGGAUGGUACAACGAGUCGCGAAACCGCGAGGUCAAGCUAAUCUCUUAAAGCCAUUCUCAGUUCGGAUUGCAGGCUGCAACUCGCCUGCAUGAAGUUGGAAUCACUAGUAAUCGUGGAUCAGCAUGCCACGGUGAAUACGUUCCCGGGCCUUGUACACACCGC
rnacentral:rRNA from 1 species